rnacentral:tRNA from 1 species
AGGGCCGUAGCUCAGUUGGCAGAGCGCGUGCGUCACAUGCACGAGGUCAUCGGUUCGAAUCCGUUCGGCCCUA